rnacentral:rRNA from 1 species
GAUGAACGCUGGCGGCGUGCUUAACACAUGCAAGUCGAACGGGAAACCUUUUAUUGAAGCUUCGGCAGGUUUAGCUGGCUUCUAGUGGCGGACGGGUGAGUAACGCGUGGGUAACCUGCCUUAUACAGGGGGAUAACAGUCAGAAAUGGCUGCUAAUACCGCAUAAGCGCACAGAGCUGCAUGGCUCAGUGUGAAAGGCUCCGGUGGCAUAAGAUGGACCCGCGUUGGGUUAGCUGGGUGGUGGGGUAACGGCCCACCAAGGCGACGAUCCAUAGCCGGCCUGGGAGGGUGACCGGCCACAUUUGGGCUGAGACACGGCCCCGACUCCUACGGGAGGCAGCAGUGGGUAAUAUAGCACAAUGGGGCCAACCCUGAUGCAGCGACGCGGCGUGAAGGAAGAAGUAGCUCGGUAUGUAAAUUCCUAUGAGCAGGGAAGAUAAUGACGGUACCUGACAAAGAAGCCCCGGCUAACUACGUG